UGGGGAAUAUUGCACAAUGGGCGAAAGCCUGAUGCAGCGACGCCGCGUGAGGGAUGACGGCCUUCGGGUUGUAAACCUCUUUCAGCAGGGAAGAAGCGAAAGUGACGGUACCUGCAGAAGAAGCACCGGCUAACUACGUGCCAGCAGCCGCGGUAAUACGUAGGGUGCGAGCGUUGUCCGGAAUUAUUGGGCGUAAAGGGCUUGUAGGCGGUUUGUCGCGUCUGCUGUGAAAAUCCGAGGCUCAACCUCGGACUUGCAGUGGGUACGGGCAGACUAGAGUGUGGUAGGGGAGACUGGAAUUCCUGGUGUAGCGGUGAAAUGCGCAGAUAUCAGGAGGAACACCGAUGGCG
rnacentral:rRNA from 1 species